rnacentral:rRNA from 1 species
UACGAAGGAUCCGAGCGUUAUCCGGAUUUAUUGGGUUUAAAGGGUGCGUAGGCGGUUUAUUAAGUCAGUGGUGAAAGCCUUCAGCUUAACUGAAGAACUGCCAUUGAUACUGAUGAUCUUGAGUAUGAUUGAGGUGGGCGGAAUGUGUCAUGUAGCGGUGAAAUGCUUAGAUAUGACACAGAACACCGAUUGCGAAGGCAGCUCACUAAGCCAUAACUGACGCUGAUGCACGAAAGCGUGGGGAGCAAACAGG